rnacentral:rRNA from 1 species
GGAAUAUUGGGCAAUGGGGGGAACCCUGACCCAGCAACGCCGCGUGAGGGAAGAAGGUUUUCGGAUCGUAAACCUCUGUCCUUGGUGAAGAGUAAGAGACGGUAGCCAAGGAGGAAGCCCCGGCUAACUUCGUGCCAGCAGCCGCGGUAAUACGUAGGGGGCGAGCGUUGUCCGGAAUUACUGGGCGUAAAGGGUGCGUAGGCGGUCUGGUAAGUUGGAUGUGAAAUACCCGGGCUUAACUUGGGUGCUGCAUCCAAUACUGUCGGACUUGAGUGCGGGAGAGGAAAGCGGAAUUCCUAGUGUAGCGGUGAAAUGCGUGGAUAUUAGGAGGAACACCGGUGGCGAAGGCGGCUUUCUGGACUGUAACUGACGCUGAGGCACGAAGGCGUGGGGGGCAAACA